rnacentral:pre_miRNA from 1 species
AGUAGGACUGCUGGUCAUAUGGUAAGUAUUUAUUUAACUUUGUAAGAAACUGCCAGACUGUUUUCACAGUGGCUAUAUCAUUUUACAUUCCAUCAGUAGU